CCUACGGGGGGCUGCAGUGAGGAAUAUUGGUCAAUGGACGAGAGUCUGAACCAGUCAAGUAGCGUGAAGGAUGACUGCCCUAUGGGUUGUAAACUUCUUUUAUAUGGGAAUAAAAUGUUCCACGUGUGGGAUUUUGUAUGUACCAUAUGAAUAAGGAUCGGCUAACUCCGUGCCAGCAGCCGCGGUAAUACGGAGGAUCCGAGCGUUAUCCGGAUUUAUUGGGUUUAAAGGGAGCGUAGGUGGAUUGUUAAGUCAGUUGUGAAAGUUUGCGGCUCAACCGUAAAAUUGCAGUUGAAACUGGCAGUCUUGAGUACAGUAGAGGUGGGCGGAAUUCGUGGUGUAGCGGUGAAAUGCUUAGAUAUCACGAAGAACUCCGAUUGCGAAGGCAGUUCACUGGACUGCAACUGACACUGAGGCUCGAAAGUGUGGGUAUCAAACAGGAUUAGAUACCCUAGUAGUC
rnacentral:rRNA from 1 species